UGAUGGCACAGUGUUGAAAGGAGUAAAAAAAUGAAACCUGAUAUGUGUACGUAUCCAUGCACGCUUUUUUAAAUUAUGUAAAAGCACAGGGCAGAUACGAGUUUUCACCAUAAAUCAGCACAAACAAAUCUUUGCUCAUCUGCGAGAUGCUGAAAAAGUGAAAAUCAUCCCAAAUCACUGCAUUUACCUACAUUUCCGUCGUAUCAAAUCACGCUAAUCGAACACGGUUUAUCACGGAAAUCCAUCCUCGCAUAUCCUCCUCUACAGUAAAUCACCUCAUCCGAACGCAGCGUUAGGGUUCAUACCAGCUCCACUUCAUUCCAACAUUUCAACUCAGCGUAAAGACCUAGAGUCUCUCUUCUGAACGAGGCAACCUAGGGAGGGGUUGGCCCUGCACGCGCGCGCUGCCACCUCCACCAAGCCGGUCGUCGCAAGUCGCGGCCCAAGACGUCGCAAGCACCGCCGCUCACCGUCGAGAUCAUCGCCGGCCACGGAAUCAGGCUCCCCUUUUCCUCUUUUCCUCGCACGUGAGAGAGAUAGUUCUCUCCUUCGUGAAUCGCCUCUUGGGCGAGCUCGGCCACCGCGCCAGCCAGGGCUCCACUAGCGUCACCGGUCGUCGCCAGGGUUGCCUCCGCUCACCACGUCAACGUCCUCUUUCCUUCUUCGCUCGCAAGCAGAGAAAACCUUUCCCUCUUCUUCGAAUUCGAGGCUGCCAUCACCAACGAGGUUGGACGUCGCCGUUGCUCCUUACAAAGCCAGUCACCGCGAGCUUACGCAGGAAAGAACAACGUCUUUCACGGCGGUUCCAACCCUCGCGAAAUGCACAGAGAUUCUCUUCUUCUCCUCACACUGUUAUCUUAGUCUAGGGUUCACAAUAUAAUGAUGGGUCCAGAGGUGGUUGUGAUGAAGGAAUGGGUUUUACGGAUGAGAGGAAUUGUGGGUUAGGGAAACUGGAUUAUGGGUGUAAUUUGAUGAAGAUAACCUCCCUUGUAUUCUUCUAUAACUUACGAAAUUGACACAAGCACUAAGGUAUUGAAUCUGGUUUUGGCUGUUGGUUGCAGGUGAAGAAUGAACUCGAAAUUUGAUGAAGAGCAGGGUUAUUUGACACUUUGUUUUGGUGCGUUUUGUUCUUUUUUGAGCAUGUUCUGUUAUGGAAGAAAUAAAGGGGAAAGUGAUGUUUUCAUUCCUAUAUAUGGUUUUUGUGGUUUUUGUGUGCAGGUUGAAGAGAUGAACUCCGUUGGAGACGGGAAGAAAGCCGUGAUAUACAACAAUCAUACACCAGCAUAAAUGUAGUGCAAAGUGCAGUAUGAAGUACAACAAACUACUCACUAAGCAUGAUGUGUAUGAUGUGUGCAAAGCGUUGCUUAUCUCAUGGAGCUCUGUUCACUAUUGUUAAAGUUAAACUCUUGGAGCUUCUCCUUGUGGCUGGCCUUCCCCUUUUUUUUCUGUUAUAGAUGAAAGGGCGUUGUAGAGGGUGAUGGUUGAAGAUUGGGUGAGGGUAUAGGUUUCUAGGAUGUGCGUGACGGAGAAAUUGGUUUCGGGGAGUGUGGUUUUAUUGAGUGAAUGGAGGAAUAGAAGUUUUGUGAGAGGCGAAUGAUGGGUCCUGUGUGUAAGUGUGUUUAGUGUAUACGAGAGGGAGGCUUUUGUUCUCGUGGAUGGACAUAAUAGAGGAAUCGGUUUAUGAGGAGGUCCCCGUUGAAAUGAACCCUUAUAAAUUGGGCUGCUGAUGUUGAUUGGAAGAAGAAUUGAGAUGUAGCUGCUACGCUGGAAGUUGCUACGCUGGACGCUGCUGUUGUGCUGCACUAAUAAAUUGGGUUGAAUAUGAAAUCAGUAUGGAACGCUGAUGUUGAUUGAAGAAGUGGGCCUCUACUACAACAUGUUAAAUUGGGCUUCUAUGUUAGAAUUGGAUUGGACUCCAACUAAUUGGAACGUUGUUGCUGCUGUAGCGUUGAUUAAUGAAGCAGUGUUGUUCUAAAGUAGAGCACUGGAUUGGGCCAACUCUCCUUUAAUGAAACGUUGCGUUUCAGAUGCUGUCAUUAGGGGUCUCAGAUUUGCAAAUCAUUUUGGCAAAAUGAAAGAAGUUUUCGUGCAUUUGAGAAGAAGAAAAGAACCCUGGAGAGCUAGGGCUCCUUUGCGAGAAGAAAAAAAGAAAGAUAGAGAAGAGCUAGAGAAGAUGACAGGCGAGAAAAGGGAGCUGACCGGAGCUUCCACGUGGAUAGGAUCGACGGUCAGAGUGAUGCAAGGAUGCAAGAGAAAGGAGGAUCGUCCGAUUAGAGAAAGGAAGCGUCGUCGAGAAGGUGCAAGAAAGUUAUAGUAAACGUGAACUAUGGUUACUGGAUGACAACAAGGGGUGGAGUGAGUUGAAAGAACCAAAGGUUUUUUUUAAGCUCUCCUUCUCCGGCCGUGAGGUCUGCUCUCCCCUCCCUUUUGACCGUGAUGAAACAAUUUUAAAAACCACCAAGCUCCUUCCUGCUGCACUGCUUCCUGGGAGCUCUGGCAUAUCCUCUGACCUAGGAUCUUCCUUUGUCUUUUUUUCUUCUUCAUGUUUUCACUCCAUUAGUUGGCAGAAGCUCGUUCGAAAAACCUUCCCCUUUGAUGUAUGCUUGUAGUCCAACGUAAGAAUUUUCAGCAAGAGGAGCAAAGACCUUUUCACGCUGCCACUGCAUAUGUACAUUUUAAGCAUAUCUGUGUAGCGCAGGAUGGUAAGCAUUGCCUAAUGCUUUGUGUUGCAGGAGGGGCGGCUUAGUUGACCUUGUUUUUUUUUGUUGUUUUUUUUUUCUUCUUUCUUUUUGUAAAGAACGUCAGUGCAUAUAUUAAGAAAAUAUCCCUUUCUUGAAUUUAAAAUAUAAGAAACAAAAAAUAAAAAGGAAACAAAAUAUAAAAAUAAACAGAAAAA